ACACGGAUUGCAUUGUGGCAUAGGAUAGGCCCCAUAUUUACAGUAUGCUUCAUUAUAUUCUAUCUCACCGCAGAGAUUAUGUUGUUGUUGUAGCCCAUUUGAAAAGGUUGGGACAGCGCAUAGACACGUUUCGAUUACAGAGAGGACGCAGAUGGUGGAGGAGACCUACGGGCAUUCUGUUACGAGUUUGCAGUAACAAUAGGACGUAUAUUUAUGGCAGCUGGAGUCCGUAGCCUACACGCGCUUGCAUACAAAAUACAGACAUCUGCAUACUAGUAGUUCCUCAUGCCAUCCAAACACUCCUUUUGACCAGUAUUUUUAUUUACUCUCUUUUAACCGCCCAUCAGAGGCAGCUGCUCGCCAUUUACCAGACCUAUGCUCAAGCAACGUGACGCACUCCACAGCACGUCCUCAUUUUAGAAGAGAUCGACGCAUGGAGGAUCGGACAGCUCGAGCGUUUCAUCGCACCCUUACUGACUGACACAGAUGCUGCGCUGCGAGACUGGUGCAUUGUGGACCUGCGGUCAAAUUUACAUCAUUGCAAAAGUGGCCAAACCCACAGCCCAGCUGGCAGGAUGCAAGUCCCCAUGACGACUGGGGUGCCCUGGUGUCCCUGACGGACUGGUGAAUACAGGAGUAGGGAGAGACAGAUGGGUAUGUGUCCAGUAUAUCCUCAUACUGUGGAGGGGGUUCUUGUAAAGGCAGAGGUUUAACAGCCGUUAUUGAUGGUAAUUCUGUUUUGUGUGCUCCAUUCCUUGAUAUUUUUUUGACUAUUGUUGGUGUUAGUGGGGGCUGCCGUAACAAGUUCUUAAUUUAAAUGAGGUUAGUUCAAGGUAAAACAUGUCAAAUAAGUUAGAAAAAAAAGGUUAUUCAGGUCCAUUAGAUACUGUUCCUCAACGCCUAUGAUUCUUGGUGAUUUUGCAGAUUAAUUUAGUAACUCUUCAUAGUAUCUAUUGGCAGUGGUCAAGGCCAAUGGUCCAGUACGUCCUUGGUAGGGUUUUGGGGACAGGUGUUCCAGGGGGUUGCGUUCCACUUUCUGCUGCUCUCUGCUCUGUGUUUAUCUCCAGAUAUAUCCUGAGGAAGAUGCUGGGAAGGUGCCAGCCCUCAGAGCCUAUUUAGAUGAGUCCACAACAUGUCCUGACUGACAAGACUGUCAACAAAGCUGUUUUUAAACAGUUGUCAACGUGGUUCAUCCUUACCGAACUGGGACGGGAACUGGGACCUAUGGCUUUCACCCACUGAGAAAGGGGCACAACAUUGGCAUUCACUCACUGCUGAUGGGGCACAGCCACACUUCUUUAGUUAUCAAUAUGUGUUAGAAGUGUAUCACAUUGCUGUGAUUAUUUGCAUAUUUUACUUAGCCUACUUAAAAUGGGAUUAUCAUUGGCACAUUGCUGGUUCCCCUUUUACUGCAAUGAGCAAAAUCAGUCAGUGUUUCUUGGUUGUCUUAACCUCUCUGGGAGAUGUGUAGCGUCCCACCUCGCCAACAGCCAGUGACCGUGCAGGGCGCCAAAUUCAAAACAACAAAAAUCUCAA